GAUGACUUGCCCAAAACUGUUGUUAUGACUCUAAAUCAAGGAUCAGCUGUCAAGAGUAUGGAUUUCCAUCCACUGCAGCAGAUUCUACUUCUUGUUGGAACAAACAUGGAUGAUGUCAUGGUAUGGGAGUUAGGUAGCCGUGAAAGGAUCGCUCUUAGAAAUUUCAAAGUUUGGGAUCUUGGAGCACGUUCAAUGCCUCUGCAGGCAUCUAUCACCAAU